ensembl:snRNA U2 U2 spliceosomal RNA
AUCGAUUCUCGGCCUUUUGGCUAAGAUCAAGUGUAGUAUCUGUUGUUAUCAGUUUAUGCAGUAUAAAUCUCAUACUGAAUUUCUGCCAAGUUUUUACUAUUACUUUUAAGGUGGGGGAUUUUAA